CAGCCGCCGCGGGAAUACGGAGGGUGCAAGCGUUAAUCGGAAUUACUGGGCGUAAAGCGCACGCAGGCGGUUUGUUAAGUCAGAUGUGAAAUCCCCGAGCUUAACUUGGGAACUGCAUUUGAAACUGGCAAGCUAGAGUCUUGUAGAGGGGGGUAGAAUUCCAGGUGUAGCGGUGAAAUGCGUAGAGAUCUGGAGGAAUACCGGUGGCGAAGGCGGCCCCCUGGACAAAGACUGACGCUCAGGUGCGAAAGCGUGGGGAGCAAACAGGAUUAGAUACCCCAGUAGUCCCUGUCUCUUAUAC
rnacentral:rRNA from 1 species